AGUGAACGCUGGCGGUAGGCUUAACACAUGCAAGUCGAACGGCAGCACAGUAAUCGCCUGCGCUUACGGUGGGCGAGGGGCGGAUGGGUGAGGAAAACGUCGGCAUCUACUUUUGCGUGGGGGACAAAGUAGGGAAACUUACGCUAAUACCGCAUACGACCUACGGGUGAAAGCAGGAGAUCUUGGGACCUUGCGCGAGUGAAUGAGCCGAUGUCGGAUUAGCUAGUUGGCGGGGUAAAGGCCCACCAAGGCGACGAUCCGUAGCUGGUCUGAGAGGAUGAUCAGCCACACUGGAACUGAGACACGGUCCAGACUCCUACGGGAGGCAGCAGUGGGGAAUAUUGGACAAUGGGCGCAAGCCUGAUCCAGCCAUACCGCGUGGGUGAAGAAGGCCUUCGGGUUGUAAAGCGCUUUUGUCGGGAAAGAAAAGCAGCAGGUUAAUACCCCGCUGUUCUGACGGUACCCAAAGAAUAAGCACCGGCUAACUUCGUG
rnacentral:rRNA from 1 species